UGGAAGGAGAGUGUGAACCGCAACGAGGACUGUGUUAAAGAAUAGACCUUAGUUGGUCACAUUCCAUGAGAGUACCAUGGUCAACCUACGAAGUGUUCAGCCGACCCUCGUGACCGCCUUUCCAAAGCAGCAAGAAGCGGCUUCUCCUUGAUUAGUUAUGUGUAGAUUAAAACAGAAAUGAAAAGACAACCGGUUUGGGAAGACUCGACAAGGACAUUUAAUUUAGCUAAGUAAUAAAAAAGUAUACAUAAUA